UUUCCGUAGGUGAACCUGCGGAAGGAUCAUUACUGAGUGAGGGCCCUCUGGGUCCAACCUCCCACCCGUGUUUAUUGUACCUUGUUGCUUCGGUGAGCCCGCCUCACGGCCGCCGGGGGGCAUCUGCCCCCGGGCCCGCGCUCGCCGAAGACACCAUUGAACUCUGUCUGAAGUUUGCAGUCUGAGCGAAAACUAAAUAAGUUAAAACUUUCAACAACGGAUCUCUUGGUUCCG
rnacentral:misc_RNA from 1 species